AUAAGGCUGAGUCAUGCUAAAUGAGCAUGAGCUGUAGGGUAAUAAACUGAACCAUUACCAUGAAGUAGGAGCUCGCAGCUCGCAGCUUGUAAUAGUAAUAGAUUCAUAUACUCAGCUAAGCUACUGAGCGUAAGGAGCAAGGAAAAUUGGGUUAUAAAACCUACACCCCAGCCUUCUAUAUUGGGUUUUUCUUCAUUUCAAUACAAGUGUUCUAUAAAAGUCUAUCAAUUCUCAUGAACUGAGCUAACACUGUUAUUGGGAAAGGGACUAAAAACUGGAAUCUGAGAAAACAUUUAGCAAGGCAAUAGCAAGACAAGGAUUUGAAUCAAUCUGAGCAAGAAGAUUUAGCAAUCAAGAGGUAAUAUUUUAACUCUAUUAGAUAAAUUGGAUAAGUUUAUAAGUGAGUAAGUGAAUUAUGUAACUAUAGUCGGUACAAAGGAUUGUUGUGCUAUUUAUUUCAUAAGGAAUCUGGGCUGAAACAUGUUAAAAUUAGUCUGAGAAUUUAAAAUUCAACAUAUACCCACUUGUUGGUUGAUAAAUUGUGAAACAGAAGAAUUUUUCUAAAGGCAUGAAAUUUAUAGUUUUUGAUAAACAAAUUUAUAUCAUGGUAUUGAUCAUGGCCACUUGGCUAAGGUCUGAGCUCAUUUUAUUGUGUAAGCAUGAUACUUAAUAUAAUGAUUGAGAAUUGAGUCUGGGUUUUGCAGAUGGGAAAACUAGAACAGAGCUGAUUCGAAGUGGCGCAGCUGUGCCUUUUCCAAGGGCUGAGACCAGCGCAGCUGCGCCGGUCUGCACUCAUUUCAAGAUAUUUUCUUUAAGUGCUGAGUUAUAGAGCAUGUGUAUUAGUAUUUUAUAGGUUGUAAUAGGUGUCAUUCAUGGUGUUCAGCCUAAUCAUGAUAGACUUGACUUAGUGUAUCAUGAAUUUGAAUGAGUUUUAAAUGAAAAACUAAAAGAGUUUUGAAAAGGAAGCUUUUAGGCCUAACUUAGUUUACUAAUUCAAAGUCUUGGUAUAUGCAUAACAUGUUUGAAUAAACUUAGAUGGUGUCUAUCAUAGCAAAGAGUAAUUCUAGCUGAGCUUGGAUAGUCGUAAGAGUUUUCAAAAUGGAAAAACUAAAAUUUUUUGAUAAUAAAUUGGAAUGUAACUAGAAAGGGUUUUCCCCCGGUUUAAGGCCCUUAUAACAUGAGAUAGCAUGAAUAGGAAACCCAUAGAGAAAUGACCAGAGCAAAGAAAAGCUCAACUUGGACAUCAGCUAGAGUGGCACGGCUGCGCCACUUCUAGGCUAAUGGGCAGCGCAGCUGCGCCAUACUGAAUAAUUACCAAGACAAAUAUGAUAUUUAACUAAGGUUUGUAGCAUGCACAUAUGAUUAAGGCUGUAAACGAGCCAACACAGUUCGGGCUCGACUCGAAAAAAUACGAGCGAGAUUUGGAUUCGUUAAUAAUAAGAUUCAAAUCUGAGCAGUAAAAAUAGUUCGAAUAAAAAUAUGAGUAGAAUCUGAGCAAGGUUAUACUCAACUCGUUUAAGAUUCAAACUACUCGAAUUUUUUAUUGUGAUUCGAUACAUACUCGGUUAAUACAUAUUCGAUUAGAUAUUCGAUACAUUCUCUUAUAAUAUAUACAAAUUUAAAUCAAAUUAGGAUAAUUAGUUAUUAUUUUGUUUUGUUUUUAAUUUUAAUUGUGAUGACAUAUUUGUAAAGUGUAAUAAUAAAUAUAUUUUAUCAUUUUUAAGUAAAAUAACAAAUUGAAUUUAUAAUUAUAUUUAUUAUAAAAUUAGUUAUUAUGUGGAGACUCGAAUUCGAGCUUGAAUUUGAAGCUCGCGAGUAGUUUGAAUAAAUAUUCGAGUCGAGUCGGAUCGAAUUCGAGUACUAAAUAUUCGAGUCGAGUCGAAUCUGAGUAGAAUUUUUUAAAUAUAAUUCGAAUUCGAGUACAAAUUUAUCAUUUCGAGUCGAAUUUGAGUAGCUCUCUGUUCGCUCCGGUUCGACUCGUUUACACCCUUACAUAUGAUAUAAGUCUCUCAAAUAAUAAAUACAAGUAGUAAAUAAGGUUUUUACUUAACCUAGUAUGAAAUGGCUAUGUUAAGCAAAGUUUUCUAAAAAGAUUUGAAAGUGAAAGCAAGGGUUGGAUAACAAAUUUCUAAUAUCUAAUAAACAAUAUAGAAGCAAGACAAGCUAAGCUAGUAUUCUAAGCUUAUCAUAAACUAAUUUGCAUGGAUUGUAUAACUGAUGUGUAUAUGUUUGAUUAUAUGAUCAUGUAGGAUAUUCGAAGCACAUGUAGAUGUAGUUGUAAUCAACUCGCAAGGUAAGUCUUCUAGUUUCUAUUUGUUAUAUAAAUUUGAUAUGGAUUGUCUAUAAAUUAUGUUACAAUGAGCAUGUUAAAUUACAUAUAAUGUGUAUAUGAAUAUCGAAAGUCAAAUUAUGCUUAUAUGUGGUUGAGUUAUGGAACUCAAUUUGUGGUAUUUGAUGUAACAGGCAUUUGGAACUUAUAUUUAUCUUAAACUGAUAUUUAUCUUGAGCAUGAAAUCGUAUAACUGUUUUAAAUUGAGAUAAAUGUUGAGCAUGAAAUUUACGUGUUAUGUGCGACAUGAAAGCUAUUAGAUUUGUUGAGCUGUCGAGCUUAAUCUUGCAAAAAUAAACUUUCUGCAGGUUAACGAUACAAUGCCAUAAUAUUUGCUAUCUGGACAAUAUGGAUGAGAAGGCGUGCAAGAGAAACCUGAUUUCUUUAUUUUUGAAACUUAGAUGGUAUUAUGAUAAUGAUGUACAAGAAUACAAAUGUGUAAAUUUUUGAAAUAUUCAAUAAGAUGAGAAUG
rnacentral:lncRNA from 1 species